ACGACUGCACCCUCAGCCUUCCUAUUUCCACAUCACUAAGAAGGACCUGAAGAAAAUCUGCAUACAUUGAGCAUUGGGCUAACGCUCCCCAGCAAAGAGUCAGGCUUCCUUCUGGCUGUUAUCGACAGACUCGGAAGUGGCCUGGAUAAGACGGGGAGCAAUGCAGAUGCUGCUGUAAGCCAGGGUCAGAAAAUUCCGCCCUCUGAUUGGAUCAAAGUAUUAGGACUCCCGAUCAGGAGAGGAAGAGGAGGGAGCAAAUUCUGCACCCACCAGAACAGAAUUCAGAAGAAAUGGCAGGAGGAGAAAUUUCUGCAUUUGCCCUGUUCAUGGAAGCUCCACUGAUGGAUUUUGUGAUAUGAGCAGGAAGCAGCACCCCUAUGAUGUAUUAUCAUUUCCUGAUCUGUUUCAUACAGAGCGAGGAACAGGUUACCUGAAGAAGUAACUUCCAGGAAUACCACAAUGGACAGCGCUGGGGAGAUUCAUGACUAACGGACAAAAAAAAAGCUGGAUGGACACAAAAGAAUGUGAAAGAUUAAGACAGAAAACAAAAGAGCAAAGAAUGUGAGAGAGAAAUUAGGAUAGGAGUUUCAUGUGAACGAGCAAAGAUGGUCAAUGGCUUAAGAUUAUAAAGCCAAAAACAGAUGUUCAUUUGCCCUUGAAUAAAUUAUACCUGUGUUUGUCUCAGUGCAGAAAUAUCCCAGAAUGGCAUGAAUACACAUCAUCC